AGAGUUUGAUCCUGGCUCAGGACGAACGCUGGCGGCGUGCUUAACACAUGCAAGUCGAACGGAGUGUAACGCUGAAUUGAUGUCAGCUUGCUGAUGGAUUUUCUUGUUGCACUUAGUGGCGGACGGGUGAGUAACGCGUGAGUAACCUGCCCUUCAGUGGGGAAUAACGUUCUGAAAAGGACGCUAAUACCGCAUAACACAUAGUGACCGCAUGAUCAUUAUGUCAAAGAUUUAUCGCUGAAGGAUGGACUCGCGUCCGAUUAGCUAGUUGGUGAGGUAAGGGCUCACCAAGGCGACGAUCGGUAGCCGGACUGAGAGGUUGAACGGCCACAUUGGGACUGAGACACGGCCCAGACUCCUACGGGAGGCAGCAGUGGGGGAUAUUGCGCAAUGGGGGAAACCCUGACGCAGCAACGCCGCGUGGAGGAUGACGGUUUUCGGAUUGUAAACUCCUUUUAUGGGGGACGAACCAAGACGGUACCCCAUGAAUAAGCUCCGGCUAACUACGUGCCAGCAGCCGCGGUAAUACGUAGGGAGCAAGCGUUGUCCGGAUUCACUGGGUGUAAAGGGUGCGUAGGCGGCUUGGCAAGUCAGGUGUGAAAUGCAGAGGCUCAACCUCUGACCUGCACUUGAAACUGUCAGGCUUGAGUGAUGUAGAGGCAGGCGGAAUUCUCUGUGUAGCGGUGAAAUGCGUAGAGAUAGGGAGGAACACCAGUGGCGAAGGCGGCCUGCUGGGCAUUAACUGACGCUGAGGCACGAAAGCGUGGGUAGCAAACAGGAUUAGAUACCCUGGUAGUCCACGCUGUAAACGAUGAUUACUAGGUGUGGGUGGACUGACCCCAUCCGUGCCGCAGUUAACACAAUAAGUAAUCCACCUGGGGAGUAC
rnacentral:rRNA from 1 species